rnacentral:lncRNA from 1 species
AUUAUACUCAGAUGUAACAUGGACAACUGCAAUUUUUUUUUAAACUCCAGCAGGAACUCAUGUUGGUUGAACAUUAAUAUACAAAUUGUAUUGCAGCAAAGAAGUAGAAAAGGAAGGUCAAAGAUGGGAAACUUCUAAGCAGCACUUUAAUAAACAAAUAAAGGUACAGAAUCAUUGAAGUCACUGAUGUGGUUUGCAAGUUGUCUCAUUCUGUGCUGUGAAUCAAUCAAGCUGCACAAGGGGUCAGUGAAUCAGUACACCACUCUACUUUGUGGGACCUCAGGGAUUCAAGGAAUGUCGAUCCAUGGUCCUAUUCCACUGAGGCCACAGCAUCCACAGUGUUGUCAUAAGAACUGCUUCAGAAAAAUUCUUAAAGAUACAAGUUCACAAAUAAAUUUUCAACUUUCAUCCUCAA